rnacentral:tRNA from 1 species
GCGACACUAGCUCAGUGGGUAGAGCGCAACCUUGCCAAGGUUGAGGUCACGAGUUCGAACCUCGUGUGUCGCUCCA